ACGGGAUCUCAGGUUAGCCCAACCACACAGGAUAUUGGUUCUGGUUAAAGGGGAUCGCCGGACGGGAUCUCAGGUUAGCCCAACCACACACAGGAUAUUGGUUCUGGUUAAAGGGGAUCGCCGGACGGGAUCUCAGGUUAGCCCAACCACACAGGAUAUUGGUUCUGGUUAAAGGGGAUUGUCGGACGGGAUCUCAGGUUAGCCCAACCACGCAGAUUUUGGUUUUGGUUCAAGGAGAUCGCCUGAUGGGAUCUCAGGUUAAAAAAAAA